rnacentral:rRNA from 1 species
UACGUAGGGGGGCAAGCGUUGUCCGGAUUCACUGGGCGUAAAGCGCGUGUAGGCGGCGCGUCAAGUCGGGUGUGAAAGUCCGGGGCUCAACCCCGGGAUGCCGCUCGAAACUGGCGCGCUUGAGUACGGUAGAGGAGAGUGGAAUUCCCGGUGUAGCAGUGAAAUGCGUAGAGAUCGGGAGGAACAUCAGUUGCGAAGGCGGCUCUCUGGACCAGUACUGACGCUGAGGCACGAAAGCGUGGGGAGCAAACAGGG